UACAUGCCCACAAACGCCUGCUGCGCUCAGGCCCCUGCACAGCAAUGCACCGGAGGAGGCAAGCGGCCGUCCUCCUACCCCAGCGCGCAAACACCACACUGCCCACGCACCCGGCGUUCAGGCGCAACCACCACCCCCAGACGAUGCCCAAACCCACACACACGAGCCCGUAAGAAAAGGAAAAUACAUAAGAACCCACUUGCAGAGAUUCCUUCUCUCCCACAACCUGGAGGGGAAGUACAUGUAUAUGGUUGAAAACUGAAAAGGCACCAAAAGUUACACAGUGACAAGUGCAGCCCAUGGCUUUUUAUCCUGCCCCCAGUGGAGAUAGAACAUCCUCCUGGAGAUGAUGACUCGGUUCCCUCCCCUGACUUACAUACACAAGCAGCCGCCCUCCUCCCACUUGAGGGCCUCUGAAUUCCUAGUCCGCCCCUCAUUUCCAACCACUUCCUUCUUGCCAGCACAUCCCUCGGGUAUUAUUAUCCCAAAGAACACUUUGGUCACGGAGGUGAUGACAUCCCAACCUAAAGCCAAGUCUUCCACCAGAGUCAGGGGGUGAAUCCAGGCUAGUCCCCUUGCCAACUGAAUCUCCCCAUUUCUGGUGAUCCCCUAGCCCAGCUCUUGCACUUGUGCCUGUCACCUUGGCCCCCAGAUCCUCACACAUGGCCUGCAGUGAGAUAAGGCACAAGUUAACCUCAAGCCUGGGAUGGACUCCCCCUGCCCUCCUCUC